AUUGAACGCUGGCGGCAUGCCUUACACAUGCAAGUCGAACGGCAGCACGGGUGCUUGCACCUGGUGGCGAGUGGCGAACGGGUGAGUAAUACAUCGGAACGUACCUUAUCGUGGGGGAUAACGCAGCGAAAGCUGUGCUAAUACCGCAUACGCCCUGAGGGGGAAAGCGGGGGAUCGCAAGACCUCGCGCGAUUAGAGCGGCCGAUGCCUGAUUAGCUUGUUGGUGGGGUAAAAGCCCACCAAGGCGACGAUCAGUAGCUGGUCUGAGAGGACGAGCGGCCAAACUGGGACUGAGACACGGCCCAGACUCCUACGGGAGGCAGCAGUGGGGAAUUUUGGACAAUGGGGGCAACCCUGAUCCAGCAAUGCCGCGUGAGUGAAGAAGGCCUUCGGGUUGUAAAGCUCUUUUGUCAGGGAAGAAACACCGGCUCUAACACAGUCCGGGAAUGACGGUACCUGAAGAAUAAGCACCGGCUAACUACGUGCCAGCAGCCGCCGUAA
rnacentral:rRNA from 1 species